rnacentral:rRNA from 1 species
AGGAGCCGAUGAAGGACGUGAUAAGCUGCGAUAAGCUUCGGGGAGUUGCACGUAAACUUUGAUCCGAAGAUUUCCGAAUGAGGAAACUCACUUAGAGUAAUGUCUAAGUAUCAUUAAGUGAAUACAUAGCUUAAUGAGGGGAACUCAGGGAACUGAAACAUCUAAGUACCUGAAGGAAGAGAAAGAAAUUCGAUUCCGUAAGUAGCGGCGAGCGAACGCGGAUUAGCCCAAACCAAUAAAGUUUUCUUUAUUGGGGUUGCGGACAUAUCAUAACGAAGAGGUAUCGUAAUUGAAGAGGUUUGGAAAGACCCACCACAGAAGGUAAUAGUCCUGUAUGUUAAACGAGAAGACUUCAGAUAUGAUCCAGAGUACCACGGGACACGUGAAACCCUGUGGGAAGCAGGAGGGACCACCCUCCAAGGCUAAAUACUACCUAGUGACCGAUAGCGUAUAGUACCGUGAGGGAAAGGUGAAAAGAACCCCGGGAGGGGAGUGAAAUAGAACCUGAAACCCUGCACUUACAAGCUGUGGAAGCACAUUUCUUGUGUGACCGCGUACUUUUUGUAGAACGGGCCAACGAGUUACGUUAAGUAGCAAGGUUAAGCACUUAAGGUGCGGAGCCGUAGCGAAAGCGAGUUUUAACUGAGCGUUCAGUUACUUGACGUAGACCCGAAACCGGGCGACCUACCCAUGAGCAGGAUGAAGCGAAAGUAAAAUUUCGUGGAGGUCCGAACCCACGAGCGUUGAAAAGCUCGGGGAUGACUUGUGGGUAGCGGUGAAAUUCCAAUCGAGCCCGGAGAUAGCUGGUUCUCCCCGAAAUAGCUUUAGGGCUAGCCUCAAGGUGAGAGAUACGGAGGUAGAGCACUGAAUGUCCUAGGGGGUAUUGCACCUACCGAAGACUAUCAAACUCCGAAUGCCGUCAUCUUAUACUUGGGAGUCAGACUGUGGGUGAUAAGAUUCAUAGUCGAAAGGGCAACAGCCCAGAUCGUCAGCUAAGGUCCCUAAAUGUAAGUUAAGUGGUAAAGGAUGUGGGAUUGCACAGACAACCAGGAUGUUGGCUUAGAAGCAGCCACUCAUUCAAAGAGUGCGUAAUAGCUCACUGGUCGAGUGAUCCUGCGCCGAAGAUUUCCGGGGCUAAAACUUACUACCGAAGCUACGGCAUCAGUAAUGAUGGGUAGGGGAGCUUCCCAUACGGGUUGAAGCAUGACCGUAAGGACAUGUGGACAGUAUGGGAGUGAGAAUGUUGGCAUGAGUAGCGAGAUGUGGGUGAGAAUCCCACAGGCCGUAAACCCAAGGUUUCCAG